rnacentral:snRNA from 1 species
GUGCUCGCUUCAGCAACACACAUACUAAAAUUGGAAUGAUACAGGGAAGGUUAGCAUGGCCCCUGUGCAAGGAUGCCGUGCAAAUUCAUGAAGUGCUCCAUAUUAAA